rnacentral:lncRNA from 1 species
AAAAAAAAAACCCAAACCAAAACUGCUGUUAUCUCUUAUUUGUGUUCUCUCUGCUCUCCUAGCUUUGGUGUCUGCCAUUCAUGUGUCUGUAUCAGUCAGCUUCUCCACUGGACAUCAUACCUAAGUCAGCUACCACAGUCACCUUCUGAUCUAUAGAUCUGGUUUUCUCCUGAUGAUGGUGGCUGAAAGUUAUGUAGCGCUUGUUGGUUAAAUUAUGUUGUAGCAGCUGCCUCGAAGACUUCUCCUAAAUGAGGAGUUUCUAUUGUACACUGAAAAUCAUCCUUAAUGCAUGAGUAAGCCUGAUGAACAGAUAGAUCUGAAAAACAUUGACUCAAAAUAAAUCCUUCUUGGAAGAGGAGUAAUUGUUGACUAAUUCCCGUGGGAGAGAGAUGUGAGUUUCUUGCAGGCUCUUUGAACAACAGGACUUCAAAGAGGAUCAGCAAAAAGGAGGCAGCUACCUUCCAAGAAAUGCCUACAAGGAAGAAAAUAAUGGUCCUGGUGCCAUAGGCUGAAGCAUACGUAACCCAUAAAUCCUCAACUGACAUAAUAGCUCCUGAGGCAUUUUCUUCAGAAGGAAGAGGAGAACAUGCUAUGAGGCAAAGUAACAGCUGGUGCAGUGCCAGGUGACAGCAAAUCCUGCUGAUGAGUAUACUGGCUUCGAGUGACCCUUCAUUAACAGCAUGCAUGGAGGGAGAACCUGUGGGUAGCUCGUCUCUGCCUUCAGACAUGAUUAUUCAUCGUGCGGCGACACGGAGAGUUCUCUGGCAGGAGUCAGACGUUACCUCUGCAGGAAUGGGGACUGCUCGUGGGAGCUGACGUCAGCACUCAGUGCAGUGAGGGUGUCAUUCCUUGUGCAAGACGAUGCUAUGCUGAACCUUUCUAGCCUGGUCAAUUUGAAAAUGCAUUCAAACCCAGAUAGCGAAGGACCACAGGCAUCUCUUGUCUUGUAGCUGGAAACACAGCAAAGCUUUACAAAAUGGACAUACUGGUUUUCUUUUUUUCUGAAUGGUUGCACUUAAAUCAGAACUCAGUGAUGUGUGCAUCUGCCAACACCAAACAAUACACCGUUUGUAGGUUUCUGUUUUCACAUGUCUAGCAAGGUUUGUAUUGAUCAAAUUUCACACUCAUAACGUCAAAGAAGCCAGAUUAUUUCACUGGAAUAAAAAUCAGUGCUUACAGACUUGUUGGAAAUAUUUUUAAAUUACCUUUCUCUUUUUACUGGCAUACAAAUUUUAAAGGAAGGUACGUUGCUUGUUUCUUCACUGAUAGAUUCAGAGGCAGUAUGUAUGGUUAGUAAUAAUUGUUUGGCAAGCCAAGCUGACUCCAAUGUUUGUUUUCGCAAUCCUUUCUACUGAAACCAACAUUGCUUUUCAGUCAGCUCUGUAUCUUAAACACAAUGUGUUGUGCACACAGGGCAAGGUGUGCCCCAUGACCCUGCCAGUUAUUCUGUGCAUGAUCAUAUUGCACUUAUCUAUCGUGGGAGAUUUGAAAAGCUUUCUCUCUGGGCCAUUGGAGGAAACCUUGUACUUUUGUAGCCUGACCGUGACAGAAAUCUGUAAGAUGAGAAGGUUUGCCAUGCCUAAGGUUAGUUCUGCUGCAGUAAGUCUUCCCGACAUCCAACAAUGCCAGAGAAAGCAUAGUUUCUGUUUGUGGAGAUUAAUUACUAUUGUGAAGGCAACUAAAAAUGAAAAGUGUGGGGUUUAUGGCAGUUUUAUUUUUAUUGCUGCUAUUAGUAGCUUCAAUUGCAGUCUGUAAGUAAAGUGGUGAGUUCUCAGGGAAUUUGUCAAGAGCAAGGACUGGUAGGUUAGAUCAAAAUGUGGUUUGUAGGAAGGGGAAUAUGGAAAGCAUUUCCUGUUUUUCAGCUGGCAUGGAUCUGCUUGAGCAAGACAUACUCUGCUAAAUUCAUCAAGCUGUUGUCCCAGACCCUGUAACAUGUGGCUCCAGCAGUGCCUUUACUCAGUUCGUAGCCUGGUGGAAAUGUCACAUCUGCCAAUCCUUACCACACAAUACAAAUGAGAAAAUACUUAAUCUUCAUACUUUAUGUGAGACCUCCUGGCUCUUUCCUUGUUGAGGGUGAGGACCACUCUCACUUUCUAUUAAAAGAAGGAACCAUGCUACCAAUCCUGUUGUUAUAUAAACCAAAUGUUGUUAUAUAAAUAAUUAUUCUGAAAUAUUUCAGUUCUGGCAUUUUUUUCUGGUGAUUUAUGGUGUUUUUAACCAAAGCAAUGAACAGAAAUUAAUACAAAGCUGUAUUAAAUUUAGUCAGAAAAAAUCAUGCAGCUUUUCAGUGUUCUAUUUAUCCUGCUAGUGUAGAUUUUUCUUCAAAAUAUAUGGCUCAAAUCUGCCCAGUUCUGCUUAACUCCGUCUUUUUUUCUCUCUCAGUUCUCCUGCUCCUUGACUAGAACCCAUCCUGACACACAAGCCAGGGCAAAUGCUUUUCAUUGCACACCCCAUGCUAGCGCUAUUUGUGUUCCUGAAUGUGAUCACUAGAAGCUUGCUUUGUCUCUUACUGCGAGAUGCAUGUUGGCAUUUCUUUAGAAAACCUGUGAAUACCACAGAGGCUCAAGGUGGACUUAAAGAUGCUCAAGGUCACAAAACAGAUUUAACAGCGUGACUGUACUGUUCAAGCAUAAGCAUUGUAGCCCUUCAUUCAGAGUGAUUUUGCUGCAGAGCAAGUUGGGCUGAACGAACCACUGGAGGUUGUUUGCAUGGAACUGCAACCGCAGACAAGAAGAUGGUUCUCUGAGGGCAUUACCAGCAUUUUCCUUGAAACAUUUGCUUCUUCAUGGAAACUUCCAUCUAUUAGCUUAGCUUGUUAGUUGUAAAGCCCUAUGGUUUGCUAAUCUUCUUCCUUCCUUAGCUUUUCAUUUCUUCAAAGUAGUGGUUACAGACUGGAACCUGCAAAGUGCUGAGCGCUGUAUUCCACAUCAAGCAAAACUCUUAAUGUUAAUCAUGCUCUGAAAAAUGCUGCCAGAUUAGAGCUAAAUCUUUACACAUCCCCUGUAUCUCUCCAGCUGGGUGCCUUUUUCGUUCAUGUAAAAGCAUGGCUGUGCAGUUAAGGCACUGAGCUUGGGCUGAGGCAGUGCUAAGUCCACUUUAAUCUACUACAGCCUUCUUUAAUCAUGUCCUAAUUUACGAAAUAGAAAUGAUAAAUAUUUUGUCUUUCUGAUUCUAAACUCUUGGGAUGGCAUUUAUUUCUUAGCCUUAUAAGAACAUUAAGACCUUAUGCGGUGCUACAAAUGAAUUCUGUCUCUUAGAGGGCAGACAUCUAAGCCCUGGGCUGACUGGCGAGGAUUCCUGCCAUCCAGCUUCAGAGCAGGAAUGCCCUGGGAGGGCUUCUUGUCGUUGGCUCUGUGCUGUCUAAUUGCACAGCAAAUAGCAUUGGUGCUUCAGAUAACGUUUUAUUCAAAGCCUUUUAUUUCCAGUUAAAUAAAAGAAGAGUAUAUUUCAGAUUGUCUUCACGUGCCUUCAUGUGAAGAAAGGCAAUGUUUUAGACGUUUUGAAAUUCAAUUCAAGUAAUGAGCAUUCAUUAUAUCUACAUUUUAAAGUGCCAGUUUCCAGCAUCUGCCUAAGAGAAAGUAUAUCUCACUUUUUCUCUCUACCUUUGUUAGUAAUUAUCAUAAUCACAGGGUAACAUCUCAUUUUUUGCAGUUUUGUGUAUUCUCUGAACAAUUCUUACCCGAUUGAGCUUACUGUCCCUGUCUCAUUUAUUUAAUUAAACAUUAAGUCAUUGAACUUUUAGUAUGCCAAGAUUACUAAUGUGGCAAAAUAGUAAUCCAUUAAACAUCCAGACAGUAAAUCUACCACCUACCUCUUUUGACGAGGUUAUAGUAUGCCAUACAAUUAAUUAUUUGAAGCUUGAAAACAAUUUCUGCGAAGUGCAAAAUGGAACUAUUACAUCUCCAUUAAAAGAAGAAAAGUAAUAACUUCUAAAGGUUUAAAAAACCUUUAAGCAAUAUCUGAUGUAUGUCGCUGCUACACAACACCUCCUGUGAAACAUUUCUUGCUUGUAAAGGCAAGAUCAUACCUACUGUUCUGAUAACAGUGAUUUACUGUGCUGUCUGUUUGUCCAUCAGUGCAUCUAUCUGUGAGUUAGCACGUUCCUAAAGCUCUUCACAAAGUUGACUUCCUUUUUCAAGCCAAGAGGUAGAGGUCUAAUAAGCAUCAUAGGAAGCAGCGCACUGCUAAACUGAUGAUGGGUGGAUGAGGGCCGAAGAGUGGCUCUGAAUUAACUUCCUGCUGGCUGAUGUUUCUGGAGGCACUUUCUCAACCACAGCAGAAGUCCGUCGUAAUAGUCAUAGAAUUACAGAUUCAUUAGGAUUGGAAAAGACCACUUCAGAUCAUCGAGUCCAGCCACCAACCCACCACCAUCAUGCCCAUUAUCCAUGUCACUCAGUGCCACAUCUACAUGUUUCUUAAACAUCUCCAGGGAUGGUGACUCCACCACCACUCUGGCAGCCUGUUCCAAUAAGCAUUCCCAAGUGCAUCAUUUUGUAUUUUCUUAUGGUUUUACUGGCCACACUUCAGCUGUUGUCCUCUUUGUGUUAUGCACUUUUGUGCUUAUGUGGCUCUGGUGUUAUCAGAGGAGUAAGACUUUGUUGGUAGUAUUUGAAAAUAUAGUUAGAAAUACUCAACCACUGGAAAAGUUAGGACAAAUCUUGUGAGCAAUAUUGUUAUUUGAAAAGAAUCCCACGAGGCUUUCCUUGGCUGUUUGCCUGUUCAUAGAAAUUAUUACAUGUAUAUGAUAUAGACAUCCAUAAAUACCAGUGAAUAAGUGGGUGAUUAAAAUGAUAAAAUCGUUAUAAAGGUUAUUCAAAUUAUAAAAUCAUUUAUAUUAAGUUACAUAAAUAAAUACUGUUGCAGUCAGAAAGUGAAAAGACUCUUCAUUCAUUUUUCCUGUAAUUCACUUCAGGCUCCAUAAAGAUCCUGAAGGAGAAAAUGCCUUCUUUUAUUUUGCUAAUACCAGUUUGGCCUUUCUGUGAGGGUUUUACAAAGCUAAAGGAGUCACUUCAGUCUAUUGUAAUCCCCUUUUUGUUUCAGAGAAUAUAUCCCAGAUUCUCUGUUCUUUAAGUAUCCAGUAAGACUCUUCUUGUUUGUUUUCAAAGGAAGCGUCCAUAAACCAUUUGAAAACAACAUAAUUAAGGUCCGAGCUGCCUGUGACAUCUCUCACAUGCGUGCCCAGCUGUUCUGUUGGUUUUGCUUGUUAUCAUCCAUCACCAGAUGAUAAAAGAAUAAUUCUGGAGAUACUGAUUGCUUAAUUAAUUGGAGUUCUUUUUUUGUUGUUGUUGCUUUUCUAAGGCUCCUGUUUGUAAUUGUAAUGAAGCAAUAAUAUAAUACAUCCUUUAUGGUCUUAAUGCUGUGGACUUUUCUUUGCCACACGUAAUUAAAAUUCAUGAGGUAGUGGUUUAGAAGAUAUUAGAAGAAGGUUCCUGUGCAGAAAUGUUGUAUACUGCAACAUAAUUAAAUAAAACAGCAAGUCUUUAAAGUUAACUGGUGUACUUCAUUUGGCCAUUUAGCAAUAACUUUCAAAUAGAACUGUGGAUUGCUGAGAGCAGCCUGAUCUUAAAACAAAAGCAUCCCUUUGGAAACAGAUACUAAAUAGUUGUAACUGUAGAGUCAUAGAUUAGUUUGGGUUGGAGGGCACCUAGAAGACCAUCCAGUUCCAACCCCUACCGUGGGCAAGGAUACCUGCUGCUGCAUCUGGUGGCUCAAAACUGCUUCCCUUCCAGGGAAGGGGCACUCAUAAGAAGAAUAAUUUUGUCUUUCAUAAGCAAUUAUAAGUGUAUGAAAGUGUCAUUCUUAACCUGCCAUGAAAGUGUUGAAAAUGUAGUAUGUCCUCUGUGAACUGUGGUGAUUUUCCCAAACCUGAAAAUAUUUUCCCCAGAAUAAUGAAAAAUGUAGUAGAGUAAAAUAUAGUGAAUACUACAAAAUUAAGUGGAUCUUGGCUGUGUUCUGAGGAAAUGUAUUUACUCUUUUACUCAUUUAACAUUGUGGCAGAUCAUGUGGUUAACAAUGAAGAACCACACAGCAAUGAGUCAUCAACUGUUGAGUGGGACAUCACGACAUUUCACUUCACUGUAGAUGUGUGUACUCAAGUGAAGUUUCUUCUUAUCGGAGUGAAAACCAGAGCCAAAAGACUGUCAGCACACUUUCAAGUUUAGAUGGCUGGUUCAUAAAGCAUGCACCCACAUCUUCAGUUUAAGCAGGGACAAUGCAGGCUGUACACUGAAAGAGCAACCUUUUGCAUCAGCUGGAUCAGACUAAAUAGUUGUAUAGGUGGAGAAGAGUCAUGACUGUCAUUUUACCAAUGGCAGUGUGAGAACAGAGAAGCUCAACUCCUUUGAUUUGGCUCAAACAUCUUGCUGAUGUGCACAGAGAAGAAGAUUUCUCAGUCCAAGUGAGAAGCUCAUGGUAUCAUCAUGCUCUUCCCUCCUGUUGACACUGGGCAGCUAGGCAGAAGGUGAAGACUUCUGGCUGAGUACACAUGGGAUCUUGACUCUGCCCUAGCAGGUAGUAGAGCACAAGCUGGGAUGGGUAAUUCUGGUCCUUUUCUACUUUGCGCAGUGAUGAAGUAAUGUAGCCUAACUAGGUCACGCAAUGAGGCUGUGGGAAACAUGGCCAAAGAGGAUCUUCUAUUCCUUGACAGAUACUCUACCAGGAAACUACUGUUACUGCUCAGUACGAAGAGUCUCCACUAGUGUCUUUCUACAGAAGACUCAGCUUGGAUGUCAAGAGAAAGCAGAUUUUCAGGCACAGAUCCUCACUUCUCGAGCCGUCAGGAUGGAAAAACAAGUCACUGGGGCUCUGGAAAGCAGAAUUUUUCCUCUCCCACACACGAGCUGCUUUGUCUGGUGGUUUGGAGGGAAGCGGUGCCCGUGCUUCCCUGCUUUCGUGGAAGGAUGACCUGGCUGUGCUGUCAGACUUGGACCAAGCUCCAGAGACCUUCUUUGGGCUGAAGGGUUUGGCUCUCCAGCCAUGUGAGUGCCAUCAAAUAAGCAGAACUUUGUCUGAGUUGGCUUCACCCUACCCAACGUCAGCACUCUGCUGGUGGGUGUCUCACCCUGCUGCCGUCAGUGCAGAAGGACACGUUGCUGAGGGAUGCCCACCCUGCUUACAGUCACAGAACGACAGAAUACCCCCAGUUGGGAGGGACUCACGGGGAUUACCGAAUCCAACUCCUGGCUCCACACAGCACCACUCAAACCAUAUGUCUGAGAGCACUGUCCAAACCUUUCUUGAAGUCUGCCUUGUCUCAGAGCUCCAACGUAUGAGGGGUUAGCUCGCUGUAAGGUGCCCAUUUCUCUUUUAGGACUCAAGGUCUGGGCAAAUUUUAUUAAAGACACCCCAAAAUCAGGCAUCUUGGGCAGGUCAGUCCCCGCAGCCCCAUCCUGAGAGAAGUUGUCG